UGCCUAAGUCCUGUUAGGAUAUGGCAAAAAAAACCCAACCACGGCGGUAAGCUCCUCAUCGAGCACUCGUGGUUGGGUCAUACGGGGAAACCUGUAUGGGUGGUCUGAAAAGAUUGCC
rnacentral:sRNA from 12 species